rnacentral:rRNA from 1 species
GACGAACGCUGGCGGCGUGCUUAACACAUGCAAGUCGAACGGAGUGGCGGACGGGUGAGUAACGCGUAAUCAACCUGCCCUUCAGAGGGGGACAACAGUGGGAAACGACUGCUAAUACCGCAUAGUGAAGGAGGGGAUUGCGUCUUAUUAGCUAGUUGGAGGGGUAACGGCCAACCAAGGCGAUGAGCAGUAGCCGGUCCGAGAGGAUGAACGGCCACAUUGGGAAUGGGACACGGCCCAGACCCCUACGGGAGGCAGCAGGGGGGAAUCUUCCGAAAUUGACGAAAGUCUGACGGAGCAACGCCGCGUGAGUGAUGACGGCCGUCGGGUUGGAAAGCUCUGUUAAUCGGGACGCGGUACCGGAAGAGAAAGCCACGGCUAACUACGUGCCAGCAGCCGCGGUAAUAC